UACGUAGGGUGCAAGCGUUGUUCGGAAUUACUGGGCGUAAAGGGUUCGUAGGUGGCCAACUAAGUCAGACGUGAAAUCCCUCAGCUUAACUGGGGAACUGCGUCUGAUACUGGUUGGCUUGAGUGCAGGAGAGGAACGCGGAAUUCCAGGUGUAGCGGUGAAAUGCGUAGAUAUCUGGAGGAACACCGGUGGCGAAGGCGGCGUUCUGGACUGCAACUGACACUGAUGAACGAAAGCCAGGGGAGCAAACGGG
rnacentral:rRNA from 1 species